CCAUCCCGUGUCCCGUUUAACAUGGGGCCAUCCCGUUGGACAACCAUAUUCUUAGGUGCUCGAAACCGAGACCUGAGUGGAUUGUACCAAUUCUCUGUUUCUAAUAAAGACCAAUGAGAUUUAGUUUAAUUUCUCACACCUAAUUUAUGUGAUACUUCAUCUGACGCAGUGUUGUGAAGAGCGUGAAGUGAGGAAAAGCGACAACCCCCAUUUCGCUUAAAGCGAGAAGCGAAUCGUUUGCUUUUUUGAAGUGAAGCGGACUCUUGCAGAGUAAGCCCAAGCCGGGUCUUUACUAUCUUCUUUUGGUGCCAUUAAAAGAACAACUACAUAACACAUAAGAAAGGCAAUAAGAACUAAGAAUAAAGGAUAUAAAAAUUAGAGAAAGGGCAGUAAUUCUCUGUUAAAAACUGGGUAGAGAAAGAAGAACCCAAGGAUUGACAUCAAUUCUGAGAAAGAACCGAAGGUUAAAAAAAAAAAAAUCGCCAGCAUUUCGCUGCUAUUUGGACGUUGAAACAGAACCCUAGAGCGGGCACUGAGUCGCUUCGCAUCGCUUCUCGCUUAAAGCGAGGAAGCUAGCGCUUUCGCAUCGCUUCGCUUGGUCGCUUCUCACUUUUUAGUGGGAAGCGGUCGCUUUUUUCUACCUGAGUCGCUUCACAUGGGGAAGUGGGCACUGAGUCGCUUCGCAUCGCUUCUCGCUUAAAGCGAGGAAGCGAGCGCUUUCUCUAACACUGAUCUGACGUUGCUAGGUCUCAAGAUUAGGAGUCCAAUUUUUUGUGGUUUUAUGUGAUUGAAGAUAUUUGUUAGUGUAGUGAAGGUUAAUGUGGAAAAGUCAAAAUUAUACAAUUAAUAUUAUUAUCGAGAACGUAAUGCAAACUGUUUGGGGGCCUAUCCUGAAAAUUUCUGUAAGAAUUGUAGUUAGGAGAUGUUUGAGAAUUUACUUACUAUUUACUUACUACUGAACGUAAAUAUUGCUGAAGAUAAAUAACACUUCAUACGGUUUUGUUGGAAGAGGAGGAAUAGACAAUCUUAUUAGUUGGACUAAUUGUACACAAUCUUUCUGGACAAAAGCAGAGAAAAUGACAGCUGCACUCAAGAAGUAACCGAGUAUUAAGGGUAAGAGGGACAGAGAACUGGAUUCUGGAUAUUAGCAAUUUUGUAUGCAUAAAAAAUGAAAAAUGCUUCAUGACUUGGUCCAUAAGUUGCAUGUUAAACUUUCUUUGAUUGAUGUUUUACCAAACGCCAUACGUGCUAAUAAAAACAUAGAAGUGCUUUCAUGUAUAUCUGAAAAUCCAAGAUAUAUGUUUGCCAAAAUCCAUUUACCAAAAUUUAGAAAUAGUAUUGGCUUAUCAGUUGAGCUUAGGGUUGUUUACAGUAACUAGGUCGGUUACAGCUGGCCCUGCAGUUUCAAGCCCGUUAAUGAAGUAUUUAUUUGGGUCAAGAUCUCUAGCUAGGAAGGACUCUCCCUGCUGAAUUUGACGUCCAAGUUUUAAUUGAAACCUUCUUUCACCCCUUCCAGUUUUCUCCACCUCUCACCAAGCACCACCAAAGUAAAGUUUCAAACUGGGAGAGUAUUUUGUCUACUUUGUGAAUUUGAGGUGUCGGGUUAAUGCCCAUUUUGCUACGCUCUUUGUGGGGGUGUGCACUAUGUGUUGAUUGGGGGAACUACAUUUACAUUUUCUACAUCCACAUGUCCAGUCCAGUUACAUUAUCUGGUGAAUAUACAAAUACAAUGAUCAAAACUAUUUGUGAAGAUGAGCCGGUGACAUAAAUUUGUGGAGACAAACACGAAGUGUUUGUUUUCCACAAGUUAGGUAAUUGGGAAAUAAAUUAAAAUGAAAAUAAUUGGUCGUUGCUGUUUUUAUUCUAAAGAAUGACCGGUGGGGUUUUCUAGAGAACACUUAUAGUGGGUUCUUUUCAUAGGUUCUGUAGGUUGUAUACUGUGAAAUUCAUUUGUAAACAUUGUGUUUGGAAAGAAAUAGUUCCAUCUGUCCUUUGAGUAUUGGAGUGAAGGAGCGGGCCACAGGCUUAAGUUAACAAAUCUUAUGGUGGUUUAUUAUGUGUUAGUGCACGAAGGCCUGAGACUAUUUUUGACAUGGAUUGAGGAACUAGUAGUGAAUAGAGCAAAAUAAAUUCUUUACUAACUAGAGCAUAAGAACCACAUCCGACUAAUUGCAAUAAAUCUUCUCCUGGAAAGAAAUAUUCCAACUGCAGUGCUUGAAGCAGAAGGUGGUAGAAUGGAGUUAAAUUUUUUAAUUAAUUGGAAUGACAGAGAGUCUUUGCCUUGUCGAAGGAAUCUCCACCUCCAACCACGAGGUUAAGAAUUCGAGUCAAAGCCGUGGGGUGGGGGUAAUGGAGGAGGAGAAUGGGAGAAACCUACCACUGUCCUUGGGAGGGGUCUGGUUGAGUGGUCCUUAUAAAUAAAUAAAAAAAGAAAGAAAUGAUUUAAUUAAUCGAAAAUCCCCACAUUUGUUUCUCUUCGCAAGACAUGUAGUUUAGAGGGUAUCUAAAAGAUUAGAAAAAUGUUACAUACAAGGGUUGAAAUAUUUUAAGAUCUAUAAAGAAAAUGAUUUGGGUUUAACUCAACCUCAGAAGCUAGCUCAUGAGGUGAGGAUUGCUCAAGACCAUAUAAGGAGACAACAUCCUAUUCCCUCAACCUAUACGGAACACUAAACAUCUGCCUCGCCCAGCAUUGACAUCUGGCGGUCCGACAUUGGGUAAACUAAGAAUUUGGAUGGGUCUGACUCUGAUACCAUGUAAAAAGAAAUGAACUUUGGGCCUAACUUAACCUCAAAAAAGCUAGCUGAUGAGGUGAGGAUCCAAAGACCAUUUAAUGAGACAACUGCCCAUUCCUUCAAAUUCUCCCGAAGCAAGUCUUUUCCUGUCAUUUAUACAACCUUUAUAACAUCAAGCGCUUGUUCUGAUUUAUGAUUUGAUAUCUACCGCAUUUGGCUCACCGAAGAUGGUAGACUUCCCUUUUACUAGUUGCAUAUAAGCUGGUUAGUGUUUUUUUUAGUUGGCUCAUAGAACUUAACCAUGGUGUCAACAAUCUUUUUUGGUUAAUGUGAUAAUAUGUUCUGAUGACUAAAAUAUCUCAUUUCACUGUUGCUAGUUCACUUGUGCUUUGUGCUGAGAGGGAGAAAAAAGAAAGAAAGAAGAUAGUGAUCUAAUAUCUUAGUUCAGAGACCUUCUCUUAUCUAGUAUUAGAAUUCACAAGAGUCCUUUGCGGUGCCUUACAUCCAAACUAAAUGGAUUUGAUGCAAAUUUAAAAGCUGUCUCAACUAUUGUUGUAUUUGGAGAUUGUUAAUGACAUGCCUAUUAUAUAUAUACUGUAUAUAAUCUCAGGAGAUGUUGCUAGAGUGAAUGGCCAACUAGCUGUAUCUCGCGCUUUUGGGGACAAGAAUCUGAAAUCACACCUGAGCUCUGAUCCUGAUGUUACAAAUGCUGAUGUCGAUGGGGAUACAGAUAUUCUCAUACUUGCGAGCGAUGGUCUAUGGAAGGUAAUGUCUAAUCAAGAGGCAGUUGACAUUGUGAGGAAAGUCAAGGACCCACAUAAGGCAGCCAAGCAGUUAGCGAUCGAAGCACUGAUCAGAGAAAGUAAAGAUGAUAUCUCAUGCAUUGUUGUCCGAUUUAAGGGGUAAAUCCAUGAGAUUUAUCCCAGUGUGCAGUAUAUAUAUUUAUUAGAGGGGUAUUUGUUAGAGGAGGCGUGAUUUAUAGACUGAAAGAAGCUCGAAGUCUCGGAUAAUCCUGCAUAAAGUAUUAAAGUGUUACCUGGAAAGAGAUUAUAUCUUUUCCUCUUCCCCCCACCCUUUUGUAAUAUUCAUGUUCUUUACUCGGGCUGUGUGGUUGUUAUAUGUUGAUUUAUUCAGCUAGUAGAUUCUCAGGAUCAUAUUUCUUCACUUGCUUGAACACUCCAAUGUUGCAUUUGUUGGCAAACCAUUGCUUCCUGUAAUGGUGAAAAUGAGUAAGCUUUUUGAUGGUA